GUUAUCGUCCAUAACCUAAAGGGUGAGCGAUGAGGUAACUGGAGUGAGGAGCUGGUCGUCAUCAGCAUGGUGUUGGUGAACUGUUAAACAAGGGUUAGUGUUUGAAGUCUUCAACUUCAUUCCCAGACUCAUGUUUUGAGGAUUCUUCUGGGCUACCUGGCUCAGACAGGGAGAGUCCACUACUUAUACAGAGCUGCUGCAGUUCAUGCUGGGAGGGAUGCAGAGCCACGUGGACAGCAGCAUAGUGUGUGAGGCAUGGUGGUGGGGGAGUGUCUCCGCUCCUGCAUGGACAUCAACAGAGUCAAAUUCAAGAUCAGUGCAAAUGAAAGAAAGGAGAAGAUGGAGGAAGCCACUGUAGACUGAGGUGCACCCCUACAGUAGGCUAUAACUGCCUUGUUAUGAGUCCUCUGUAGGACACAGGGAAGGAUGUGUUCAGUGUUUCUUUUCCUCAGGAUGAGGAGACCAAGGAGCUGCUCUCACUGAUGAAUCCACUGUCUAAUGAAGAAACAGAUUUGACCUUGAGGAAGAUCCAAGGGCAGACUGUACCCUCUAAGGCAAUACCAACCCAGGUUGCUUCUGUGGCCCAGAAAUCAGGAGCGGACCCAGACUCAAGCGUAGGGCAUUAUCAUAAUCAAACCUAUAACACAAUACCGCUUCUUAUACACUACAUUUAUUAACAAUGUUGCCUGUGAAUCUGAAGUUCUUUUUCAUUGAAAUCAUUACAGCUUAAUGAAUCUUCCCACGGGAACUUAAGCAUGGUGUAGGACUCGCCAGCUUGUAGUCCUAAAAAACAGAAAUGAGUUACCUCUGGUUUGUUCAGCCAUUCCUGUGGGGAAAGAAUAGGGUUUUGGGUUAAAUGCCAAAAAUAAGGUCUGAGGUCAACACAGGUGGAGGUCUUAUACGUUUUGUUCUAUGAGAUAAUCAGUCAGUUAACAUCACCUUUAUAAAUUGAAGCCUUUGUGUCUAUAAUGAUUACAUAAAUGCUUCAAUAUUCACAGUGACGUUGGCUGAAAGAUUCUCAUAACAAAACAUAAGAUCUCCUAAGCCUGUGUUUACCACCAACCUUCUGCUCUGCAUUUAUACAAAAAUGCCAUUAAUUUCCCCAUAGAGUGGAGAUAGAAAUUGUCUCUUUGUAGGCUCUAUCUCUAUAGUAGUGUUGUAUUAAUUAGGCUCUCUGUCUCUGUCCUGUGUGUAUGAACCAGUGAUGAUUCGAUCACUCCCUAUGAUAUAUCCCUACGGGCAGGGCCGUUAUUGGCAGGCCUUAGGGGGCGUGGCCCGCCCUACUGUACCUCCUUGCCCAUCCAAAUAAAAUACUGAUCAUUUACAGUGCCUUCGGAAAGUAUUCAGACCCCUUGAAUUUUCCCACGUUUUGUUAUAGCCUUAUUAAAAAAAAAUUAUUAAAUUGUUAAUCCCUCCCACCCCCCUCAA